GGUGCUGUGGCGUAGAGGAUAACGCAGCUGCCUGCAGCACUGUCUUCCCAUAUGGGCCCUGGUUCAAGUUCCAGCUGCUCCA
rnacentral:tRNA from 1 species